GGUCCCGUAGCUCAAUUGGAUAGAGCACCUGCCUUCUAAGCAGGGGGUUGCAGGUUCGAGCCCUGCCGGGAUCGCCA
rnacentral:tRNA from 1 species